AACGAACGCUGGCGGCGCGCUUUACACAUGCAAGUCGCACGAGAAAGGGCUUCGGCCCGAGUAAAGUGGCGGACGGGUGAGUAAUGCAUGGAUAACCUGCCUUCGAGUGGGGGAUAACCCCGGGAAACCGGGGCUAAUACCGCAUGACAAGUCGCGAGCUUCGGCUUGCGCCUUCAAAGCUGGCCUCGGCUUGCACGCCUGCGCUUGAAGCGGGGUCCAUGUCCCAUUAGCUAGUUGGUGGGGUAACGGCUCACCAAGGGGACGAUGGGUAGCCGACCUGAGAGGGUGAUCGGCCACACUGGGACUGAGACACGGCCCAGACUCCUACGGGAGGCAGCAGUGGGGAAUUUUGCGCAAUGGGGGAAACCCUGACGCAGCGACGCCGCGUGGAGGAUGAAGGCCCUUGGGUCGUAAACUCCUGUCAGGUGGGAAGAAAAGCCUUCGGUAAACAGCCGAGGGUCUUGACUGUACCACCGGAGGAAGCCCCGGCUAACUCCGUGCCAGCCGCCGCAGUAAAAC
rnacentral:rRNA from 1 species